UACGGAGGGUGCAAGCGUUAUCCGGAUUCACUGGGUUUAAAGGGUGCGUAGGAGGGCAGGUAAGUCAGUGGUGAAAAUCUCCGAGCUUAACUUGGAACUGCCGUUGAUACUAUCUGUCUUGAAUAUUGUGGAGGUGAGCGGAAUAUGUCAUGUAGCGGUGAAAUGCUUAGAUAUGACAUAGAACACCAAUUGCGAAGGCAGCUCGCUACACAUAUAUUGACUCUGAGGCACGAAAGCGUGGGGAUCAAACAGG
rnacentral:rRNA from 1 species